rnacentral:rRNA from 1 species
CUGCCUCAUACAGGGGGAUAACAGUUAGAAAUGACUGCUAAUACCGCAUAAGCGCACAGGACUGCAUGGUCCGGUGUGAAAAACUCCGGCGGUAUGAGAUGGACCCGCGUCUGAUUAGCUGGUUGGCGGGGUAACGGCCCACCAAGGCGACGAUCAGUAGCCGACCUGAGAGGGUGGCCGGCCACAUUGGGACUGAGACACGGCCCAAACUCCUACGGGAGGCAGCAGUGGGGAAUAUUGCACAAUGGGGGAAACCCUGAUGCAGCAACGCCGCGUGAGUGAAGAAGUAUUUCGGUAUGUAAAGCUCUAUCAGCAGGGAAGAAAAAAGACGGUACCUGACUAAGAAGCCCCGGCUAACUACGUGCCAGCAGCCGCGGUAAUACGUAGGGGGCAAGCGUUAUCCGGAUUUACUGGGUGUAAAGGGAGCGUAGACGGCAAAGCAAGUCUGAAGUGAAAGCCCGUGGCUCAACCGCGGAACUGCUUUGGAAACUGUUAAGCUGGAGUACUGGAGAGGCAAGCGGAAUUCCUAGUGUAGCGGUGAAAUGCGUAGAUAUUAGGAGGAACACCAGUGGCGAAGGCGGCUUGCUGGACAGAGACUGACGUUGAGGCUCGAAAGCGUGGGGAGCAAACAGGAUUAGAUACCCUGGUAGUCCACGCGGUAAACGAUGA